CACGUAGGGUGCGAGCGUUGUCCGGAAUUAUUGGGCGUAAAGAGCUCGUAGGCGGUGUGUCGCGUCGGCCGUGAAAACUUGGGGCUUAACUCUGAGCGUGCGGUCGAUACGGGCAUCACUUGAGUUCGGCAGGGGAGACUGGAAUUCCUGGUGUAGCGGUGAAAUGCGCAGAUAUCAGGAGGAACACCGGUGGCGAAGGCGGGUCUCUGGGCAGUAACUGACGCUGAGGAGCGAAAGCGUGGGGAGCGAACAGG
rnacentral:rRNA from 1 species